AUGGAGUUUGGUUUGGACAAAUGUUCGACAGUGGCAUUGAAGAAAGGAAAAAUCAUUGAAAAUGAGGGCAUAAAUAUGCCUAAUGGCCAAACAAUAAAGUGUCACCAGCCAGAGGCCUAUAAAUAUCUGGGCAUAUUACAGCUGGACAACAUCAAGCAUGAACAUGUGAAGACUGUGGUCAGUAAAGAAUACACACAAAGGGUCAGAAAAAUUCUCAAAAGCAAGCUCAAUGGAGGCAACACCAUCAAGGCCAUAAACACCUGGGCCAUACCUGUCAUAAGAUAUACCGCUGGCAUUAUAAAUUGGACACAGGCAGAACUGGACAAUUUGGACAGAAAAACAAGAAAACUCAUGACCAUUCAUCAUUCCCUGCACCCUCGCAGUGAUGUUGACCGGCUAUAUCUGCCUAGAAGAUCAGGGGGCAGAGGACUCUUACAAGUAAAACAAGCAGUCAAAGAAGAAGAACAUGCUCUGGCAGAAUAUGUAAAACAAAGUGAAGAACCUGCUUUGAUUGAAGUCAAAAAUCAGAAACUCCUCAAAGCACAGCAGACAAAAAACCAGUACAAGAAAACCGCACUACAAACUAGAGCUGACAGCUGGCACAACAAAACAUUGCAUGGAAAGUUCCUUGACAGAAUUGAAGGAAAAGCUGACAAGGAGAAGACCUGGCUCUGGCUCACGAAUGGGACCCUGAAGAAGGAGACAGAAGGCCUGAUCCUUGCAGCCCAGGAGCAAGCCAUCAGAACAAAGGCAAUCAAGGCCAAGAUCGAAAAAUCAGCUGACGACCCAAAAUGCAGACUCUGCAAGGAAACUGACGGAAACAUUGAUCAUAUCCUCAGCUGCUGUAAGAAAGUCACACAGACAGACUACAAACAGAGGCACAACUAUGUGGCCCAAAUGAUUCAUUGGAACUUAUGCCUCAAGUCCCACCUCCCAGCAGCAAAGAACUGGUGGGAUCACAAACCUGCAAAAGUAUUGGAAAAUGAGCACGCAAAGAUACUGUGGGACUUCCGAAUCCAGACUGACAAAGUUCUGGAACACAACACACCAGACAUCACAGUUGUGGAAAGGAAAAAGGUUAGGAUCAUUGAUGUCGCCAUCCCAGGUGACAGUCGCAAUGACGAAAAACAACAGGAAAAACUCAGCCGCUAUCAGGACCUCAAGAUUGAACUUCAAAGACUCUGGCAGAAACCAGUACCGGUGGUCCCGGUGGUGAUGGGCACACUGGGUGCCGUGCCAAAAUAUCUCAGCCAGCAUUUGGAAGCAAUAGACAUUGACAAAAUUACGAUCUGCCAACUGCAAAAGGCCACCCUGCUGGGAUCUGCACGCAUCAUCCGAAAAUACAUCACACAGUCCUAG
rnacentral:lncRNA from 1 species